GCGAACUUCACCUCAGGCUCCUUUCCCGCCCACCUGAGGACCUUCCCGCCAAAACCUCUCACCUAUGAGUCGACUGCGCCCUAAAUUUGGAAGCGACCGAGAAUGGUGACUGAGUAACGCGUUGCUCAUCACCUCCUUCCUUUGUGUCUUUCCCGCUUGGUGUUGCUAUUUAAAGCCAUCCACUUUCCUCAGAGGAGUCCUGCUGACGGCAGCCGGUUGCAUGGAGAUUCACGGAAUGUCCGCGUUGGAGAGACCCCGAGAUGACUUCAUCCCGAGACUUGGGGACCCCCUCCCCCGCCCCCCGUGGGUGUCCGAGCUAGAGCCCCUGAAACAUGACCAAGCCAGCAGCAAGGCGUGGAGAGGACUGCCAGAGUCACACAGCCACAAAACUACAGUGAAGAUAAAUCCCACUAAAGCCCU